rnacentral:rRNA from 1 species
GUCCACGCCGUAAACGAUGGGUGCUAGAUAUCGGGACUUAAGUUUCGGUGUCGUAGCUAACGCGUUAAGCACCCCGCCUGGGGAGUACGGUCGCAAGAUUAAAACUCAAAGGAAUUGACGGGGACCCGCACAAGCGGUGGAGCAUGUGGUUUAAUUCGAUGCUACGCGAAAAACCUUACCACCUUUUGACAUCCCUCCUACCGGAGCGCGUAAUAGUGCUCUUUCAGUUCGGCUGGGGAGGAGACAGGUGUUGCAUGGCUGUCGU